GUUGGCAAUUGCCCUCAGGAUGUUUUGGGUUUAAAUGAUGGUGGUCCACAAUGGGAAUCUAUUUAUCCACACAAAUGCUGAUGCUAAAUAGCCUUGGGCAUUUGUAAAAGGCUUUGGGAAGCCGAGCUGUCAAUCAUACCAAUAAUGGUGUCCACAAAGCAGAUCAGUAAUUGACAGUUCCGACUCCCAGGAGGUUCCCCAGCAGCUGAG